UGGGGAAUAUUGGACAAUGGGCGAAAGCCUGAUCCAGCCAUGCCGCGUGUGUGAAGAAGGUCUUCGGAUUGUAAAGCACUUUAAGUUGGGAGGAAGGGCAGUAAGCGAAUACCUUGCUGUUUUGACGUUACCGACAGAAUAAGCACCGGCUAACUCUGUGCCAGCAGCCGCGGUAAUACAGAGGGUGCAAGCGUUAAUCGGAAUUACUGGGCGUAAAGCGCGCGUAGGUGGUUCGUUAAGUUGAAUGUGAAAGCCCCGGGCUCACCUGGGAACUGCAUCCAAAACUGGCGAGCUAGAGUAGGGCAGAGGGUGGUGGAAUUUCCUGUGUAGCGGUGAAAUGCGUAGAUAUAGGAAGGAACACCAGUGGCGAAGGCGACCACCUGGGCUCAUACUGACACUGAGGUGCGAAAGCGUGGGGAGCAAACAGG
rnacentral:rRNA from 1 species